rnacentral:rRNA from 1 species
UACGGGAGGGGGCUAGCGUUGUUCGGAAUUACUGGGCGUAAAGCGCACGUAGGCGGCUUGGUAAGUUAGAGGUGAAAGCCUGGAGCUCAACUCCAGAAUUGCCUUUAAGACUGCCGAGCUAGCAGGUGAGAGAGGUGAGUGGAAUUCCGAGUGUAGAGGUGAAAGUUCGAUAGAUAUUCGGAAGAACACCAGUGGCGAAGGCGGCUCACUGGCCCGAUACUGACGGCUGAGGCACGAAAGCGUGGGGAGCAAACAGG